GGCAGGAACGAGGCCCUCCAAGAAUCCUGUGGUACAAUGCAUUUACAACACAUCUGCCCGCUGACUUGUCAGUUUUCAAGGUGUACUUUCUUCAUUUUUUUCCCCCCACAAUAGCUACAAAGGCUUUUCUACAGUGAGAAACAAAAGUACUUCUGGGCUCUGAACAAGCUUUUGUGCCUUGGAAAUUCAACAGUUUUAAAGCCAUCUGAAAAAAAUUCCUCGUUGCUAUGGCAAUACCAUUCUUUCACAACAAAUCCUUCCUGAAGGAUAUCAAAUUCAUUUAGGGUUGCAGCCACCUACUGUCACUGCUCUGCUCAUACCAUGUUAUAUCACAAGGCAGUCUGAAAAGAGACUUUCCCAUCAGUGACUGACUGCAGGAGUCAAAGAGGUGGUGUUCAAUGCACCUUGUCUGUUUAAGUAUUUCUAAUGGUGGGGAAACAUUGUGAUAGCUAGUAAUCACCUGUCUGAAUGAAUAGGCCUGCAUCAUAGAAUUUUGUUUGUGAAUACAUGAUAAAAGACAGGUUAUUCCUUGGUAAUUUAAUUGGCUUUAGAGUGUAAGAAGGCUCUGGUAGGAAACAGUGGUUAAAAGCAGCAUUAAACAUACUGCAGACUUUUUAUUCUAAGUGCAAAUCAGUGACUGUACUUGUUAAGAUUGUAUUAGAAUGAUAAAAAGUAAUUAGAAUAGACUUACUGCAUUUCUA